rnacentral:lncRNA from 1 species
AUAUAGAGUCUCACUCUGUGGUCCAGGCUGAAGUACAGUGGCAUGAUCCCAGGUCACUGCAACCCCCACCUCCCGGGUUCAAGUGAUCCUCCUGCCUCAGCCUCCCGAGUAGCUGGUAUUACAGGCGUGUGCCACAAAGCCUGGCUAAGUUUUGUAUUUUUAGUAGAGACGGGGUUUCACCAUGUUGGCCAGGUUGGUCUCGAACUCCUGACCUCAAGUGAUCCACUCACUUUGGCCUUUCAACGUGCUGGGAUUACAGGCGAGAGUCACCGCACCCGGACGACUCUGACAUUUUUGAAGAGUCCAGAAUCCUGUUACACCUGGGAUUUAGGCACUUUCAAUCUGAAAAAAUACAUAUCCUUUCAGCACUCUGGACGGACUUGAGAACUGUCCUUACGUGACCUAAAGCUGGAGUAUUUUGAGAUUGGAGAAUUAAGAGCCAGUCUUGGUGCUCUGUGUUCACCUGGUUCAUCUGAGGAGCUGCAUCUACCCUGCCCAUGCCAUAGAUCCUGCCCUGUUUGCUUCUCCUGUUGCUGCUAGUGGACAUGAGGUAACCACAGCCUAGUUCUGUGAUAAGCUCUUCACACCUGUACCCAUAUGGACUGUGGGAGAGUUUCUCUGAUAUGGACUGUGAUGCGGGUCACCCGAUAUAGAAUCACACACCUG